rfam:Oryza nivara chromosome 8, whole genome shotgun sequence.
AUCCCAUGAUGAGGAUGGGUGAUGGCGUACUCCUGCAGCCUUUCGCAAGCUUCAAGAAUGGUUUCAUCCCUCGUCUGCUGCAAGCUAGAUAUUCUUCUUCGAAGAGC